UCAUCGUCAUCGAAAGCCGGUGGUUGG
rnacentral:sRNA from 1 species